CGCUGGCGGCGCGCCUAACACAUGCAAGUCGAACGAGCGAGAGAGAGCUUGCUUUCUCAAGCGAGUGGCGAACGGGUGAGUAACGCGUGAGGAACCUGCCUCAAAGAGGGGGACAACAGUUGGAAACGACUGCUAAUACCGCAUAAGCCCACAGCUCGGCAUCGAGCAGAGGGAAAAGGAGCAAUCCGCUUUGAGAUGGCCUCGCGUCCGAUUAGCUAGUUGGUGAGGUAACGGCCCACCAAGGCGACGAUCGGUAGCCGGACUGAGAGGUUGAACGGCCACAUUGGGACUGAGACACGGCCCAGACUCCUACGGGAGGCAGCAGUGGGGAAUAUUGCACAAUGGGGGAAACCCUGAUGCAGCGACGCCGCGUGGAGGAAGAAGGUCUUCGGAUUGUAAACUCCUGUUGUUGAGGAAGAUAAUGACGGUACUCAACAAGGAAGUGACGGCUAACUACGUGCCAGCAGCCGCGGUAAAACGUAGGUCACAAGCGUUGUCCGGAAUUACUGGGUGUAAAGGGAGCGCAGGCGGGAAGACAAGUUGGAAGUGAAAUCCAUGGGCUCAACCCAUGAACUGCUUUCAAAACUGUUUUUCUUGAGUAGUGCAGAGGUAGGCGGAAUUCCCGGUGUAGCGGUGGAAUGCGUAGAUAUCGGGAGGAACACCAGUGGCGAAGGCGGCCUACUGGGCACCAACUGACGCUGAGGCUCGAAAGUGUGGGUAGCAAACAGGAUUAGAUACCCUGGUAGUCCACACUGUAAACGAUGAUUACUAGGUGUUGGAGGAUUGACCCCUUCAGUGCCGCAGUUAACACAAUAAGUAAUCCACCUGGGGAGUACGACCGCAAGGUUGAAACUCAAAGGAAUUGACGGGGGCCCGCACAAGCAGUGGAGUAUGUGGUUUAAUUCGACGCAACGCGAAGAACCUUACCAAGUCUUGACAUCCCUUGACGAUGCUGGAAACAGUAUUUCUCUUCGGAGCAAGGAGACAGGUGGUGCAUGGUUGUCGUCAGCUCGUGUCGUGAGAUGUUGGGUUAAGUCCCGCAACGAGCGCAACCCUUAUGGUCAGUUACUACGCAAGAGGACUCUGGCCAGACUGCCGUUGACAAAACGGAGGAAGGUGGGGAUGACGUCAAAUCAUCAUGCCCUUUAUGACUUGGACUACACACGUACUACAAUGGCGUUAAACAAAGAGAAGCAAGACCGCGAGGUGGAGCAAAACUCAGAAACAACGUCCCAGUUCGGACUGCAGGCUGCAACUCGCCUGCACGAAGUCGGAAUUGCUAGUAAUCGCAGAUCAGCAUGCUGCGGUGAAUACGUUCCCGGGCCUUGUACACACCGCCCG
rnacentral:rRNA from 1 species